GGUUAAGCGACUAAGCGUACACGGUGGAUGCCCUGGCAGUCAGAGGCGAUGAAGGACGUGCUAAUCUGCGAAAAGCGUCGGUAAGGUGAUAUGAACCGUUAUAACCGGCGAUGUCCGAAUGGGGAAACCCAGUGCAAUUCGUUGCACUAUCGUUAACUGAAUACAUAGGUUAACGAGGCGAACCGGGGGAACUGAAACAUCUAAGUACCCCGAGGAAAAGAAAUCAACCGAGAUUCCCCCAGUAGCGGCGAGCGAACGGGGAGCAGCCCAGAGUCUGAA
rnacentral:rRNA from 1 species